rnacentral:lncRNA from 10 species
UGAGCAGUUGUUCUGAAGAUGAGAGUAAGCAAUGCUGUAGGAAAAGGCUGUUAGGAAGAAAGGGAGGCAUCAGAAAGCCUGGGACAAUGGGACAGCAGGUGCUCUGGAAACUCUAAGCAGUUUGGAAUGGCUGUAGCACAUGCAAGAGGUCUCUGCGGAAGAUGCUCUUUGUGGAGUGAAUCGUUAACUGGGGAGGAGGCCACCUAGAUUCAGUUAUAGAACAUCGUGGAUUAGAUUGUCAUACAUCAAGGAGCCGAGGACCAUUCCCUGGGUAGCGAAGAACGUCCAGUACUACAUUGGAUUAAUGAUGCAUGCAGAUAUCCUUGUCUGAUUUCAUUCUUGGAGGAGAAGCAUUCAGUCUUUCACCAUCAGAAAUGAAACUUCCUCAGCUUGAGUUCUUGAGUGAAGAUAGUAAAAAGAAGAAUGUGUUCCAAGUGAAGGACACGUAACAUGAGAAAUAAACCUUUGCUGUUUUCAGCUACUGUCAUUUUAGGAGUGCCUGUUACCUCGGCUGAACAUAACCUGUUCUAGUGAGUGCACCUGUUUUAAGCCUAGCAAGAGGAUGACUCAAUGUGCUAUGAAGAAACGGCAUACACAGAUUACAGUCCAUUUAGAAAAAAAAAAAAAACAAAGGAGGAACUUAUUAAAGUUGGUAACUAGGUUUCCUGAAGAUUGGGUCUCUGCAAUUGGAUCUGCUCUUCUCUCCAUAGGACUUCACUGGACCUCCAGAAUCUUCUUCAUGGAUAUUCAUUGCGUAAGAUAAAGACUCAGUGCAUUAGCACUGAGAUUCUAAUUCUGCAUUAGAACUGAGAGUUAAUGUAAAGUGGUGUUAAAAUGAGUGUUAUAUGUACACAUAUUUAUUUUUUGAUUGUUGGUUAAUGUUUGCUCCCUAAACUAGACUCUAAAAUCCAUCAUAGCAAAGACUGAAUCAGUUUAUCACUGUGUCCCUAAAUAACUAUGAAUGAAUGAGUGAAUAUAUGUAGAUAUGUAUCACUGAGCAUUCCUUGAGUGUUUCAGUGGGUGUGGAGCAGCUGUCUCUGUCAAAAGGCACAGGAUGUGGUGGGGUGUGGGGUGAGAAGGUUUGUGGUGUGAUCCACGAUCCACAGCCAGCAGAUUUCCUGACUCAGAGCUCAGAAGAGAGAAACCUGCACACUUGAAAUGUAACAGGAGAAAUGCUUAUAAGUACACUACUGUGAAGUCAAAUACAAUAGCAUAUUUCAGUGACAUGAAAAAUAAUAAAUAUGCAUUAUAUAGAUUCUCCUUGAUUUACGAUGGAGCUACGUCCUGAUAAGCCCAUCACAGGUUGAAGAUAUCAUUAAGUAGAAAAUACAUGUAAUACACCUAACCUACCAAGCAUCAUAGCUUAGCUCAGCCUCCCUUAAACAUCCUCAGAACACUUACCUUAGCCUACAGUUGGGCAAAUUAUCUGGCAACACGGCACACUCUAGGGUGUGGGUUGCUUACCCUCGUGAUCACAGGGCUGGCUGGGAGCUGCAGCUCGCUGUCACUGCCCAGCAUCCCAAGAGUAUUGUACUGUUUAUCAACAUCCUGGGGAAAGAUGAAAACUCAAAAUUUGAAGUUUGAUUUCUACUGAAUGCAUUUUGCUUUCGUACCAUUGUAAAGUAGACAAAUCAUAAGUCAAGCCAUCAUAAGUUGAGGACCAUCUAAAAAACAACGCAGCUGCCUGUCUUGUUUCAGCUUUGGUCCAUGUAGAAUACAUGUACAUUUGUCUUCAUUUAUAAAGAUGCCAAUGCUAAUUUAGCCAGUUGUCCCAAUGCACAGCAUAAGAGGUAGUUACUUUUUUUUUUUUUUUUUUUUUUUGAGAUAGAGGCUUGCUCUGUUGCCCAGGCUGGAGUACAGUGGUGCAAUCAUGGCUCACUGCAAACUGCCUCCCAGGUUCAAGCGAUUCUUGUGCCUUAGCCUCCCGAGUAGCUGGGACUAUAGGCAUGCGCCACUAUGCCUGGCUAAUUCUUGUAUUUUUAGCUGAGACAAAGUUUCUCUAUGUUGGCCAGGCUGAGGUGAUUACUUUUAAAACAUUGUAAAUGGCUUCUAAAGCAAUUGUUGAUAGUUAUUCAUCAUGCAGUACUCAUACACAUUUAUAUAUAAAUAUAAAUAAUUGCUUUUCAGUCCAACAUUGCUAUUAGUUUUUAUUCAAUUUCAAAUUCUGGUUUUGUGACUCGUUUGUAGCAUCAGCUAUCUUAGCGUCAUGGGUGGGCUGACUGGCCCUUUAACAUCAUCUGCAGCUUUUUUCAAGCCAUACUGGGUGCAAAAUUGACAGGUAAGUAAUUGAGAAAUAUGGAUUAUACUGCAAAUAAUUUUAAUUUUAAAUUUCUCGAUGGUGGAAUUUGGAUAAGUGUUUGUGUAAUUCUUACUGUAUCUUUAGAGAUAGAAAAGAUAUAUGUGGAUUGAUUUCUUCCUUCAUGGGAAAACAGUUAAGAAGACAAGGCUAACAGAGGUAGAAUGCUUUUCUAUCAUUUUGUAUAAUUCAAUAUCAUACACCAUAUUAUGUGAUAAAGAACUGUAGAUGCUAUAGAAAUAUACAGAAAAAAGAGAUGAUUCAGCUGAAUUAAUCAGAGAAGGCUCACAUGGGCCUCAGAGCUUGAGUUGGAUAUGGUACCCCGAAGAUAAAGGGGAGGGAAACCAGACAGGUGAGCCUGUGCACAUGAAAUGUGGGAAGGAGUACACACAGCACAUGUCCAUUAAGAUUAGAGGCUGUGUGGCUGUGAGUCCUCAGAAAUACGGUAGGGUGGGGAGGAUGGGUACAAAUACCAAGAGACUAGAAAACGACUGUUGUAUAGCUUUGAAAAGACUCCAUACACUUCCAUAGUUUGCUAUGUGAGUGACAUGUGUUUUGCUGUGCUAAGAACUUGCCCUGCCCCUUGGGAAUGUGAUGGUUCCACUUUAUCAGACUCCAUAUGUGAGUUACUGAUCUCAACCACUGGACUCCAUCAUACAUAUAAACCUAAGAGUUUGACAGAGACUUUGGGAGCUUAGGUUGUGGCAGGGUGCACUCCGUCAGCCGCCUCUUUAAAAUCUGAGAGCUCAGGCUACGGCAGGGCCACACCCUAUUGGCUUUGGAGCUGAUCUCUGGAGCCUCACCAGCCUACACUAGCACCUCUCAAGCACUAAGCAUUCUUGCAUGUCAUUAUAGAUCUUCACUGUGUUGUUCACUGUGUUGAUUGAGCCUUCUCUUCCAAGAACCUCUUGUAUAAAGCUACACCUCAAACUUUAAUUAGACUUACAUUCCACCGAGGCUUGCAUCUAUCGUCAUUGAGCAACCAGACUUUAAUAAUUGGACUCUAACAAAAUUGAAGCUACGUGGUUACUGUACCACAUUAAUAGUACACAAUAAUGUACACUGCACACUAUAUAUACAGUACAGUAUGCAACGUAUAC